rnacentral:lncRNA from 1 species
GGGGUUUGGGGGCCACCAAGUGUGGGCCCCCAGAGAGGGGGGUUGGGGCUAAGCCCCCGCCGAUGUUUUUCUCACAGUAAAAUGGCUAAAAAUGACCCGUUUUCCUUCGAUUUACUUACUUUAAGAAACAUCAGUAUUGCUUGAACCUGGAAGCAAUUUUUAUGCAAAAACAAACUGAGAUUGCUGUUCGGGGUGAGCCAAGGCUCCGCCUUGAAGGCCGUACUUUGACCUAUAAUUAUUAACAUUAAAUACAUUGUGACCGCGGAUUUUGUUCUCAAUAGGGCUAAAAAUCACCCGUUUUCCUUCGAUUUCCUUACUUUAAGAAACAUCAGUAUUUCUGGAAUUUUAUACAAACAAUUAUUAUCUGUAUUUAAAGAUAUUUUUGUUAGAAAUCAAACUGGUAAGUUAAAAAAACAUAUAAAGCAAGAUCAUAGAAAGCAAGAUAUUUUUUGUCGAGGACCUUGAAUUUCAAUAUUUUUGAAAGCUGAACAUACAUGUAUAUAACUACAACCAGAGACUUUCUAAACUAGUAUAUACUUAGUUUAGAAAGUCUCUGCUUCAACGAAUGGGAGUGUUUAACUACUAAGGCAUUGACCAUAAUGUUCUCGUACGAUCGGCCGGGAGACGUUAAAAAAAUGACCCAACAGCUGAUUCAGCCGGUAACGAAUUUCCGAUAUCAUAAAAGAUUCACAAUACAAAGGGAACUUCCUCUGCUUAAUGGAGCCCCUAAAUAAAUGUAAAUAGUUAAGUUUUAUUCAAAAUGGGGCUAAGCCCCCGUCGAUGUUUUUCUCACAGUAAAAUGGCUAAAAAUGACCCGUUUUCCUUCGAUUUACUUACUUUAAGAAACAUCAGUAUUGCUUGAACCUGGAAGCAAUUUUUAUGCAAAAACAAACUGAGAUUGCUGUUCGGGGUGAGCCAAGGCUCCGCCUUGAAGGCCGUACUUUGACCUAUAAUUAUUAACAUUAAAUACAUUGUGACCGCGGAUUUUGUUCUCAAUAGGGCUAAAAAUCACCCGUUUUCCUUCGAUUUCCUUACUUUAAGAAACAUCAGUAUUUCUGGAAUUUUAUACAAACAAUUAUUAACUGUAUUUAAAG